AAAGCUUUCGCGGUAUGGGAUGGGGUCGCGUCCUAUCAGCUUGACGGCGGGGUAACGGCCCACCGUGGCUUCGACGGGUAGCCGGCCUGAGAGGGCGACCGGCCACAUUGGGACUGAGAUACGGCCCAGACUCCUACGGGAGGCAGCAGUGGGGAAUAUUGCACAAUGGGCGCAAGCCUGAUGCAGCGACGCCGCGUGAGGGAUGGAGGCCUUCGGGUUGUAAACCUCUUUUAUCGGGGAGCAAGCGAGAGUGAGUUUACCCGUUGAAUAAGCACCGGCUAACUACGUGCCAGCAGCCGCGGUAAUACGUAGGGUGCAAGCGUUAUCCGGAAUUAUUGGGCGUAAAGGGCUCGUAGGCGGUUCGUCGCGUCCGGUGUGAAAGUCCAUCGCUUAACGGUGGAUCCGCGCCGGGUACGGGCGGGCUUGAGUGCGGUAGGGGAGACUGGAAUUCCCGGUGUAACGGUGGAAUGUGUAGAUAUCGGGAAGAACACCAAUGGCGAAGGCAGGUCUCUGGGCCGUUACUGACGCUGAGGAGCGAAAGCGUGGGGAGCGAACAGGAUUAGAUACCCUGGUAGUCCACGCCGUAAACGGUGGAUGCUGGAUGUGGGGCCCGUUCCACGGGUUCCGUGUCGGAGCUAACGCGUUAAGCAUCCCGCCUGGGGAGUACGGCCGCAAGGCUAAAACUCAAAGAAAUUGACGGGGGCCCGCACAAGCGGCGGAGCAUGCGGAUUAAUUCGAUGCAACGCGAAGAACCUUACCUGGGCUUGACAUGUUCCCGACGGUCGUAGAGAUACGGCUUCCCUUCGGGGCGGGUUCACAGGUGGUGCAUGGUCGUCGUCAGCUCGUGUCGUGAGAUGUUGGGUUAAGUCCCGCAACGAGCGCAACCCUCGCCCCGUGUUGCCAGCGGAUUAUGCCGGGAACUCACGGGGGACCGCCGGGGUUAACUCGGAGGAAGGUGGGGAUGACGUCAGAUCAUCAUGCCCCUUACGUCCAGGGCUUCACGCAUGCUACAAUGGCCGGUACAACGGGAUGCGACGCGGCGACGCGGAGCGGAUCCCUGAAAACCGGUCUCAGUUCGGAUCGCAGUCUGCAACUCGACUGCGUGAAGGCGGAGUCGCUAGUAAUCGCGAAUCAGC
rnacentral:rRNA from 1 species